rnacentral:lncRNA from 1 species
AGUACAGUUAUGAUGCAAGCUUUAUGACUUUCUACAGCCCAACCUGUUCUUUUAUUUAACCAGAAAAUGACCUUAUUCUUCUAUUACAAAAGCAUUCCAGAGAGACUGGUGCAUUGUGGGUGUCCAUUACGGCCCAGCAGGCAUCAGUGGGCGGCCGUCUUUGUAGGUCUCUGGAUUAAGGGAGUGGUUGGGAACUGGAUGAGAGCCAAUGGCUAAACGCAAACUGAUGAGGACGCCCUUCUGAAGAACUUGUGGAAAUAAAUGUGCAAAUGAGUGUCUGAGCAAAACUCAAUGCCACAGCGCAGGCUUUUUUGACAACCCAUUCUCACUCCAAAGGCGUCAAAAACCGAAGCAUGGUCAAGCGCCCCUAGCGUCACUUUUAUGACGCCAAAUGUGCCUCUCGGCGUCGACUAUCGAAGCACUACGACCUUCAUUGCUUUCAGUGGGAAACUUUUGGCGUCAGAAUUCGACACGAGGACAUGAGAUGUUUAUCGCUAUGAAAUCACGUUCAAGAAGUCUCAUUCAGCACACAUCGCGCGAUACUUGCUAUCAGUUCCACAGUUUGGCUGAAAAGACGUAAAGGCAGUCAGCCCAGUGGUGUUUCUGGAAAGGGAUUCCUUCAGAAAUGGAGAAGACAGAAAGCUGCGGAGGCAGAUAUUUGCAGCAGUAAGUCUGUGAUAGUUUGUCUCUUUUAUCAAAAAUUCCUGCUGUUAUAAUUUGUACAGCAUUUGUUGUUUCUUAAACUGUUGCACUGUCCAAAUACCCACACUUGCCAUCUUUCCACUUGACCACUUGAUUACUUAUUUGAAGUCUUUCCUGUAUUUGGCCUAGUGUUCAAGUGAGCAUGAUGACCACAAGUGUGUGUCAAACUUUUCAUGACCUGAUGACUGUGUUUCCCAAUCCUGAUCCUGGAGAACCCCAGCACUGCACGGUUUUGGCGUCUCUCUUAUCUGCCUUGGAGUCUUCACUGAUGAGCUGAUGAGUUGAAUCAGGUGUGUUUGAUCAGGGAGACAUCUCAAAUGUGCAGUGUUGGGGUUCUCCAGGACCAGGAUUGGGAGCCACUGCCUUAUGGGACACUUAUGUGUUUAAAGAGAUUUUUAAUAUCUAAUUAUCAAUAUUUCACAUACUGUACAUUGGACAGCUUUCCGUGACCUCUUGUGAGAUCUCGGCAAAAAGUCUGACGAUUUAUUCCAAAACAUGAUGCAUGAUGGGAUACACUAAGCUUUGUAUAGCGCUCCGGAGCAGUAUUGGAGAGGUUUAGUGUGUGUUAAGGACGCUGUGCUUUGGCAUUAUUAAGACCGGGGACAGUCUCGUUCACACACUGUCAUGUACACACACUCUCAAGUGGCCAAGACUGCAAGUGUGGGUAUCUGGACAGGGUCAAAGUCUUAAAAAUGAUCCCUAAACACAUCACAGUCUUAAUAAUCCAGUUUAACACUUGUAUGAUAUUGUACAAGCCCCAGGACGGUCUCAUCUGACACUAUCAAAAGAAUUCAUAUGACUAUAGCUUGUUAUUAAUUACUUGCUUUCAAUAAUGGAUUCAUUUAACAUUUAAUUUUACAGCAUCUUUACAGAGGUGUAAUGUACAAGCUGCACGUAAUUAAUAAUAUGUCCUUCCUUCUGUCUUACAGGAUUUUUUCCAGAUAAUGCUGUUCUUCUUUUUCAGGUCUAAAAUAUCAAGCUCAACAGCUCACUCAAGAGCCAACCCUCACAAACCUUCCUAAAACCUAAAAGAGUUAUUACUGAGUCUCAGCGAAUCUUGCCAUGAUCAGCUCUUCCCAGGUACAUUUGUUUAGAAUAUUUUUUAAUCAACAUUUACUCAUCAAAUGCUCUGGUCUGAAUCUUACUUUAAAUUAACUUAAUUAUGUUUAAUGAGCAAUAUUAAUUGCUCAGAGAGUAAGUAGAGAUUUUCUUGUUUCACAGAAGAGAAGGAAGACCAAGGAAAUGAUUUGCUCAGGAUGAGAAAUGAAGACGGCCAUCUUGAGCUCAAACAAACAGAAGUCCUCUGGUAUGUGUGUGUUGAAGCAAUGCUGUGUUAUACAACAUUUUAUGAUGAUCUCUCACAGAACUGGUCAUGUCAGCCUUGAUUUCGUU